CUUUAGCAUGAUCUUGCUCACAUAUACAAUGCUGCUGCUAACAGCCAACGCGGCAUGCUUGCUGUCACGAAAAUAAAAAUAAAUCGAAAGUUUAAUUUCUAAUUAUGGAACGGCCAACACAUCAUAUUAACCUCUCGCUCUGUUGUAUUUUUGUUUUUUAUUAUUAAGAUGAUCGUUUUGAAUUUUUGCACUGGUAUUAAUAAAUAAAAUAAUCCGGUCAGCUCCCCUGUCGUCCCCGCAUCUCAGAUCGUCAAAUGCUGACGAGAAAUAAUUGUUUGCUUUAUGAUUUCGCCUUUCUACUCUUAUUAGUCUGUUAAGAAAAAUGUAGACAUAUUGCGACAUCUCCCGUGUCCGCGCGCUUUGUUUUUGGGGCGCUUGAGUAGCACAUGAUGGACGGAUUGACAUAAUUUGUCAAACCAACCGACACCCUCUGACACGGAAAAAAAAAAAAACACUCGGAAAAAAUUGACAUGUAUAUACAGUUUCAUUGCAAAUCAGUAUUAUGGUGAUCAUACUAAAUAUUAUUUUUUUUUCUGUGCACAUAUGAGGUACAUAUCGCUGCCAUGAAGCCUCCAUAUAGUGACAGUUCUCUGCCCGCUUCACUGCCGUCACGCGACCGCAGCUCAGGUUUUGCUUGCCUCGUAGCUACGUGUGUUUUAAAUUACUGUAAAUUUGAUAGUAUAUCGUCAUAGGCACAGUCCCGAGUCUGUUGAGAAAAGUAGAACACUAAACCAUGCUCGCUAGAUUUGUGUGGUGUUUUUGUCUUUUUGAGCAGCAUUUGAUAGGCUCCACGUUAACAAAUAUGUGACAAAGUCGUUUCCUUUCAUUUUAUGACUCGUUCACCGCAUAGUCAUUACUGGAAAGUCAAGUUAGCAGCAAGCUAGGUCAGGAACCGGAGGACCGAAUCACUGAACGGGAAGUGACAAAACUCAGUCUUUCCCCCCUGCCUGCACGCUGGCUGCUUAUUGGCCACACGUGGAAAUGAGUGACAUACGCCAUGAUUCUGUUUCCGCUCCCUCCCCUGCCCGCGAUGAGGCUGGCGUCUGAUUGGUCGUGUGCGAUGUCAGAAGACGCUGCCGCUUGCUCAACGCCCUCCCACGCAGCGAACAAGCGCCACCAACUUCAUAGAACGAAUCAGUGCAGAUGGUGAUUAGUUCGGUCUCGUUCACCCAAACAAUUCGUUCAAAAAGAACGAAUCGUUCGCGACCGAUACAACACUAGGGUGUACACACUUUUGUGAUACAAUAGGCGCUUUCGCACUGUAGGAAUUUGAGUACUUGGCUCCUUUAACUAUCGCGCCCUCCUGUAGUUAGAGGAGCUAUCCUUCGCGAAGCAGUCGUGUUCGCACAUGGGGUACUACGCCCAAUUCGACAUGCUGUGACGUUAUAGUCUGCGCCAGUGAUGCAUUAUUUACUCGCCAGUCGCCACACCAAGCAGCGGCGCAUGAGCUAAACGGAAGACAACGAAAUGGAGACCACUGAAGACACCGCAGCAAUUCUUGCAUGUUUGAAGGGAAUCGUUUCCAUCAGCGAGCAAUCCCAGCGUCUAACGACGAGACUGGUGGCACACAUUAAAAGACAACAGAGCCAAAGGCAAGCGAUGUUUCUUCGUUUCAUGGAGACUGAAAGGGUAUAGCCGACGACCAUAGAAGACAAAGGAGGCUACGGGUAAGUGUAAAACAAUGUAUUUGACGUGUUUACUAAGGAUGUAAGUGUUCACGUGAUGCGUGAAAAGUAAGGGGCGUAUUUGCCGCUGAUUUCAGCGAAUCACCAAAGAGCUACGUAAUAUCGUUCCUGGGGCCCGUGGAAAGUACUCACUUCAGAGCCGGAGCUAAAAUGUAGCUCGGAAGACGAGGUCCGCGUCCUAGGUUCCUACAUAUCUGAACACACAAAAUGACGUCAUCCACCCCCAAAAGGGUCGAGGAACUGCGUAUAGUUACAACAGUGCGAAAGCGCCUAAUGUAGAUGACAAUGUGCUGUUGAAGCUUGUCACUGAGGCUCCCAAUGGCAUCAAACUCAACAUGAGCGCCACCUACUCUAAAAUCUCCCAUGAAAUGAUGGCUGGAUGCCCACAUCUUCACGUGGGAGGAGGCCCGGUCGCUGAAGUCGGAGCUCGGAGCGUGCAACUGUAGACUGUGGACGAGCGUAGACGGCGCGCGGCCGUUGGCCGAAACGUAGACCGCGGCCCGCCUCCUCCUUUUGCUGUAGAAAAUCCCACGUCGCCGUUGGCCGAAAUGUCGACCGCGGUUCGCCCCCUUUUUUCGGCAGCGGCCAAUCGGCUCUCCUCGCCUACGACCAUGGACGCCUGUGAUUGGCUCCGCGAACGUAGACCGCGGCGGCCCGCCUCCUCCUUACGACGCGCUUGUGAUUGGCUCAAAAGACCCAAUCGGCGAAAAGACCACGCACUCAGUCGACAAGCUGAAAAGGUAAAUAUUGUGUAUGAAAUUCGCCAAAAAUGAUGCAAACCGAGUGUUGUUUUUCAAUUACCAAUUCGAGCUAACGCUAGCUAGGCUAGUUGGUGUGUAGAUAAGUUGUGUUGUGCGCGUUGCGCCGCGCUAAUAAUAAUUAGCCAUGUGCAGGCACGCACGUAACCUUAACGUUCAAUAACCCCGUGUGCUAUACGUCUUGUAUUACUUGUAACUAAUCACAAAUUCAACCAGUAACUCAUUCAUUUCACUUGUGUUCAAUGCAUUUUUGUUGUGACGUGAUCCUCCCUAUAGAGCCUACCCACGUACCACGUGUUCGCUGUAGGGUUCCGCCCACUUGUCCGUCAAAACGACUCUGUAUUAGCAUUGUUUUCAAUUGAUGGCGCAAUUUAAAAUGCAUAGCAUGAUGCCCACACUGUAAAUGCUCCCUAUUUGGAUUACAAAAAAACUUAAACAAAACAGAAAUACUGUACUAAAGAGACGUCAUCAUUUUGUAAGUGGGCCAAUUUUGCAUUUCCCCCAAUAACUUCGUUUUUAUUUGGAAUUUGGGAAUUAGAUGAACUCAAGACACCCCUCUCAACAUUUUAACAUCCCUGAACAUCGUCAUUUUUCUUUUUCUAAUUGCCAGCUAGGAUUCAAGGCAUCCUCUUCACAACCAACAAAAACGCAAUUUUAUUAUUACCAUCGUCUAGAAUUUUUCCUCCGUGUCAUGUCCUGCUUUUGUGUUGACACUUGCCUUGGUGUUUCUCAGUGUACUUCAGAAGCGAUGACCGGCCACCAUGCUUUGCUGCCUAAACCACGCCUGAGAAGUACAUGUACAAACAAGCUAGGAAAAACUGCCUUGCCGUCACCGCAGCUCCAACAAACCAGCAGAUUCUCGGCCAGCUCACGGUAACCUUUGGGAAAUACAAAGGCAAGACCUUCAUGUGGCUUAUGGAGGAAGAUGUCGGCUAUAUAAAGUAGUCUCCUCGAUGGCCACGUAAAGGAGAGGCGACGACAGAAGGGAAGGUGCGACACCAAAACUGGGGAGUGGUGCCUGAAGGAGCAGCUUCUACGCUACGUGGAUAUAUUCCCUCCGGUGUCAUGCCACUUGGAGCAGAACAUCGACCGGGCCAUCUGCGGGCAUGGCAGCUUCCGGUCCUUCACGUUCGAGGAGAUGUGGCAGUUUUAUGACCUCUCCAAACUCUUCCGUAACGAUCUCCAGGCCGAAAGCGCAGAAGAAUGGCAGAUGGCCCAGGAAGCCUUCUGCUUUGUGCGUCAGUGGCUACUGAUGGCAGAGUAGGACAUCAAUGUCACGUUAAGCCAUUUCGACUGUACAUCCUCACAAAGGAGUAGGAGGUCAGUAGGUCGAUAAAAAAAUAACAUAAUUUCCUUUGCAAGUGUUAUAAUCAGGGGUGCACAUAAGUGGUCCGCAUGCGCGCAUGCGCACCGGACAUAGACAAACGCGCUGGCCCUCAACGGCUUCCAUACGCUUUUGCGUACCAAUGGCUGACCAUAAGCCUGUCGCAAUAUGCAAUAAUUCCAUUUAUCGCGUGAUAUAUAAAAAUGAAGGCGGUAAUUUUUCCGCUGCGACUUAUCGCCUCGCGUGCACGUGCGUGCGCACGUGCGGCACACGUGCUGUUAAAAGUUCGGAUUCCUCGUUACCAACUGCGCAAAAUGCAUCUUCGUUCCAAGUCCGGCAAAAACUAGCGCCGGAGCCAAUCGUUCCCAUUAUAUCCUGUUGUUCAAUGUAUACCGGCCGCAUAAGUGCUCCGGAGUGACUGUGGACCAUCUACAGCGCGCCGGUGCCGGAGAACGUCACUGAAACCUGCCACAGUGGACGCAAUUUUAUUUCUCCACGACGACGACCAAAAAAUAUAACCAGUAUAAGUUUAAGCCAUAAUAUCCUGCUGUUCAAAUCGCCAUUUUUUGUCAGAGCCGGUCUAAUUAUUUCCCUUAUUUCACAGUAAUAAAGAGCAAGACAUGAGGCGGGGGCCGCAAGUUGCCGACUGCAGUCAAGGCCCGCCCGCAAUUUAAAGCUUUUAUUUCAUUUUUACUUUUUAUUUUGGUAUUGUUGUCGUUACAAUAAAGAAUGUUAUUUCAAAGCAUUUGUAGUUUGUUUUUUUUUUUUUUUGCUGCUGUUCCCUCUCCUUGUCAGAGAGGCGCGUCCAUGUGAGAACAAUAUCCUACACACUCAGAAAUAUGUUUAACAAACUUUCCCAGCGUUAUUUCGUUGUGUGAAUGCUUUGAUAAUUCUCAAAAAAAUAUGUAGAUUAUUUAAACAUUAAGAAAACUUGCGUUUUUUUCUGCCAACUCGAAGAAAUGAAAAUAAAUUGCUGCUGCUGCGCUUUUUCCGCGUCACUCCAAAAAAAAAAAAAAAAAAUCGGGUUUUUCGGGCUCGGGCCUGCAAAUCUAGUUAAGUGAUCGAGCUCGGGCCGGGUCGGGCCUCAAUACCAGCGGGCCGUGUCGGGUCGGGCUGGAUUUUUUAGGCUCGAACUAGGCUCUAAUCCAGUGUGCCAUUUCAUGAUAUCUAGUGUGUGCGCGCAUUAAAAAAGUUAACAAGCGCCGCUUAGGUCACGUCUGCUCAUUACUUCAAAACACCAGCAUAUGACACAGCGCUCUUAAUUUCAUUCAGCUGUUUAUUGUCAAAGCGAGGUUGUUCGUAGCAGCCUAGUCGGUAACAAUGUUUUGGCGGACUUCGUUGUAAAUAUCCGGCGUUGUGCCGAAAAACAGCCACCCGCGUGAAAUGUCACUCCUGACGGGAGCGCCUACACGUCGUACGUAUCAAUGUGUUUUAUUUUACAAGGUCAUUGACCGCCUCCUUAAAAUUUACAAAGUUUUUCAAAAGAUCUGCCAGAAAGUCCAUUGGACAUGGAUGCCUUGACCGUGUAGGUCUAUUUAAAAAAAAAAAAAUUUUUUUAAUAUUUUUUGUGACCCUGUGCGGAUUGGCCACAAAGCGCACAGGCGCGUAGUAUUUGACAUUGCCAGUCUUCAUCAUCACCUUGUGGUGGUGGUUAUUGUUGUGCUGCUGC